rnacentral:rRNA from 1 species
CCUACGGGAGGCUGCAGUGGGGAAUAUUGGACAAUGGGCGAAAGCCUGAUCCAGCCAUGCCGCGUGUGUGAAGAAGGCCUUCGGGUUGUAAAGCACUUUCAGUGGGGAAGAAAGCCUUGGGGCUAAUACCCUCGAGGAAGGACAUCACCCACAGAAGAAGCACCGGCUAACUCCGUGCCAGCAGCCGCGGUAAUACGGAGGGUGCGAGCGUUAAUCGGAAUUACUGGGCGUAAAGCGCGCGUAGGCGGUCUGAUAAGCCGGUUGUGAAAGCCCCGGGCUCAACCUGGGAACGGCAUCCGGAACUGUCAGGCUAGAGUGCAGGAGAGGAAGGUAGAAUUCCCGGUGUAGCGGUGAAAUGCGUAGAGAUCGGGAGGAAUACCAGUGGCGAAGGCGGCCUUCUGGACUGACACUGACGCUGAGGUGCGAAAGCGUGGGUAGCAAACAGGACUAGAUACCCGAGUAGUC